GCAUGAAAAAUAAAUACUUUUAUUUGAACCUUUUGUGACUGAGUCACUGUCUUCUUGUAUAUAUUAACUCUUUGUUUUACUUGAUAUUGCCGAUUUAGUAUACACAUUUAUGAUAUAAUUGGUUUACGGCUUUAAAAAAGUAUUUCUUGACGAUCCCUGCCAAGUGUUUGAAUUUUAUUUGAAAAAUACCGAGCACGCAAAAUAAGACUUUGAAAAUCACGAUGCACGUAAAAUUAAAUAAGCAGAACACGUUGAACGAGACACCCGUCUUGCACGACUGGACGUCAAAUAAAAAAG
rnacentral:lncRNA from 1 species